AUAACAUUAAAAAGUAUUUCAUUAUUUAUCAAAUUAUAUAUCUCCAGAUUUUUCACUGCAAUUAAUUUCCAAUAGUUUCAAAAUUGUCUUCUCCAUAAUUUAAAUAUUAUAUUAUGGAAUAUUCAUGUUGAAUUCAUUUGUAAACAUCUAUAAUUUAUGAAAUAUAAUUUAGUUACAUUUUGGUAUUACAGAAAAGCUUGCUAUAAUAAAGUAAUUUCAAUUUUAAUAUAAAAUUUUGGAAUUUUUCUCAUUUUGAUGAAUGUGUAUGUAUAUAAUAUGCUUAUGGGCAAGACAGACAUGCUGCAAACAUGAAUGUGCAAAUCAGAAAGCAGAUUGUAGCAUCUAUAAUCUUCUGCCCUUGUGUAGAUACUGUAGAUUGAACUCUGGUGUCCAACAAGUUCUUAUAUUGGCUGAGUUAACUUGAAGACCCAUAAUGCACUAUUUUUAAAGACAGAGAUCAUCUUACUUAAAUUAUUACCCUUGUUGAAAAUGACAUGAAGUCUUUGAGUCUAAGAAGUGUCAGCUGCACCCUCCUUAUGCCAAAUGCAGAAUGAUUACCUGUGAACUCAUCAAUAGAAAUAGAAAUCAAUAACAGAUCACAGAAUGUGCAUAAAUUCAGUUCUAGGAAAACAUUCAAUACUUAUUUGAUUUUGACAAUAUACAAAGUAAUAAGUAUUUAUGAAGCAAACAUUGCAGACCCCAAAUAAAUUAAAUAUUUAACCUUUCUUGAUAUUAUUUCUACAAAUGUAAAGGAACUGGAAACUUAGUGUCACACAGCCCACACAUGUUUUGAUUACAAUUUGUUUUCUUUUGUUAUUUUCUUUUAUUCAUUUUUUGGUGUCUGUGGGUACAUCUAUUGAAAUUGUUGAUUUAUGUUUUAAUAUAUUUGGUAUGUUUUACAGAGAAUUCAGUUACUUUAAUGAAACAUAUAUUCAUGAAAUCAUACAUGCAUACAGGCAUAAGUUCAAAAUUAUCAGGUCUAAAUCUCAUCACCACUAAAUGUCUUACUGUUUUUAUUUUUUGUUUUUGUUUGUUUUAAUUUAAAUUAUCUUAUUUAUUUACAUUUCAGCCUUUGCCUCCGCCGAGUCUCUCCUUCCCUAGAUCUUCAUCUCAUUCCUCCUCUCCCUUGCCUACAAGAGGGUGCUCGUCAGCCAAGACUCCCCUUAUCUAGGGCCUUCUCCCACUGAGGUCAGACAAGGCCUGUAUUUCUGCCAGAGGCCUUGGGCCAGCUCUUGUAUGCUCCAGAUUCGUAGUUCCGUCUCUGUGAGCUUUCUGGUUAAUUGAGACUGCUGAUGUAUUCUAUUCAGCUUCUUCAAUCCUUUUGGGUCUUUCAAUCCUUCCCCUAAUUCCACAAUAGUGGUCCCUGACUUUAGUCCAAUGAUUGCAUGUAACUAUUUGCUUCUUUCAUAGUCAGCUGCUGGUAGGUCCUCUUGGAAGACAGCCAUGCCAGGCUCAUGUGUGCAUUAUAGCAUAAUAGUGUCAGGCCCUGUGUCACCUCAUGAGAUGGAUACCAAGUUUGUCUGUCUUUGCUUCAAUCUCGUCUUCAUUUUUGUCCCUGCAGUUCUUUUAGACAGGAACAAUUCUGGGUCAGGAAAUUAGAACACCGAUGGCAAAGGCUCUAAGAUCAACAAUUGAAAAAUGGGACCUUAUGAAACUGGAAAGCUUCUGUAAGGCAAAAGAUGCAGCUAAUAUGACAAACUGUCAGCCUAUAGGUUGAGAAACAAUCUUUACUAACCCUACAUCCAACAGAGGGCUAAUAUCCAAAAUAUAUAAAGAACUCAAGAAACUAUCCUCCAAAAAAACAAAUAAUCUAAUUAAAAAUGGGGUUCAGAGCUAAACAGAGAAUUCACAAAAGAAGCAUCUCAUGGAGUAGAAGCACUUAUAGCCAUGUUCAAUGUCCUCAGUAAUCAGAGAAAUGCAAAUCAAAAUGACCCUGAGAUUCCACCUCACACCAGUUAGAGUGGCUAAGAUCAAAAACUCAAGAGAUAGCACAUGCUGGUAAAGAUGUAGAGAAAUAUUCCUUCUUUGUUGGUAGUAUUGCAAGCUGGUAUAACCACUUUAGAAAUCAAUCUGGCAGUUCCUCAGUCAAUUGGAAAUAAUUUUACCUGAAGAUCCAGCUAUACCACUAUUUGGCAUAUACACAAAAGAGGGCUCACCAUGUGACAAGGACACAUGCUCCACCAUGUUCGUGGCAGCCUUAUUUGUAAUAGCCAGAAACUAGAAACAACCCAACUGUUCCUCAUCCAAAGAACAGAUACAGAAAAUUUGGUUCAUUUGCACAAUGGAAUACUAUUCAGCUAUUACAAAUUAGGACACCAUGAAUUUUGCAGGCAAAUUGAUGGAACUAGAAAAUAUUGUCCUGUGUUAGGUAACACAGACCCAAAAUGACACAUAAGGAAGGUACUCACUGAUAAGUGCAUAUUAGACAAAAAGUACAGAAUACCUAGGAUCCAACCUACAGAACAUAAUAAGUAUAACAAGCAGAAAGGCCCAA
rnacentral:lncRNA from 1 species